GACGAACGCUGGCGGCGUGCUUAACACAUGCAAGUCGAACGGAAAGGUCCUGCUUUUGUGGGGUGCUCGAGUGGCGAACGGGUGAGUAACACGUGAGUAACCUGCCCUUGACUUUGGGAUAACUUCAGGAAACUGGGGCUAAUACCGGAUAGGAGCUCCUGCUGCAUGGUGGGGGUUGGAAAGUUUCGGCGGUUGGGGAUGGACUCGCGGCUUAUCAGCUUGUUGGUGGGGUAGUGGCUUACCAAGGCUUUGAAGGGUAGCCGGCCUGAGAGGGUGACCGGCCACAUUAGGACGGAGAUACGGCCCAGACUCCUACGGGAGGCAGCGGUGGGGAAUAUUGUCCAAUGGGCGGAAGCCUGAUGCAGCAACGCCGCGUGGGGGAUGACGGCCUUCGGGUAGUAAACCGCUUUCGCCUGUGACGAAGCGUGAGUGACGGUAAUGGGUAAAGAAGCACCGGCUAACUACGUG
rnacentral:rRNA from 1 species